UUGAAAUAGCGGCAUGCACAGUCGCAAGUUUGACAGUACUGAGUAUGGCCCGUGAUUAUAAUUUCAUACAUAGAAAGGAAUUCCCGUUCAAGGUUUAUGUUACCCUUCUAGCAUGCUGAUAUCGGUGGUCGGUCAAGCGAACUACUAGCAGUUUACUGUAGAUCGAAUUUUAGACUGAAAAAAUUCCAUAAAUCACGUGUUAAAAUUGAGUAAAGAUGAAGUGAUUUUAAAAAUCUAUAAAAGUAAAUAGCUCGGCUUUGAAUAUUAAUUUUGAAAUUUUUUUCACGAACCAUAUUUCCGUGGAAAAAAUUAUUCGCGAUUUGUAUUUAUAUACAACAUGUGUUUUGACUUGAGAUGUCGUCGUCUAUUCAUCGAGAGGAUUCAUUUUUGCACAAUCCAUGCAGUUGCUUAAUCUUCACGUGGUGCCUUUUGUGUCAUAUUGCACAUCCUUCAUAAGUAUUCAUAACCAAGCAACAAUGUAUUGGCGUCACGAAACCCUUGGAGGUGACCUUUAAGAUGAACGUAAUGAUGAGUGAAAAAAAUUGUAAUAUUCAAGAGAUCCGAGGUA